CGUAGCCCCACCCCCUCUAGAUACCAUUGGUGGAAGAGUCGCGCGGGAGAUUCGAGAGCUGAAUGGGGCCGCGCGCGCUUUCCCGGGUCUGUGGACUGACCGGGAGAACUUCCUGCUACGCAUCUCUGCGGCCCAGGGACCGACGUCAGAGAAGCCGGGGCAUUUAAUUGUGCCCAAGAACUGCCGGACUAUACAAGGGACCAACCCUGAAAAUCGCUGCCUUCUUUGGGCGGAAACCAAUGCCCUCCAACAAUCCGAGUGACCUGUGCCCCUUUCUACUUCCAUAUACUGGCAAUAAAAGUCUAAACUAUAUUAGAAUUUCCUGGCACCCUGUGGUGAAAAUGGCUUACUAAUCAUGUGUAAAAGUGAGGAUUCAGGACUUCCGAUCAAGAUGGCGGCUUAGAGAAAGCUAAAGUUCAGAUCUCCGGAAAACCCUUCCCGACCGAUCUCAAACUAUAAGCUCCUAAGGCGCCGAAAUUCAAGACGAUCAACAGCAUAGACCCUGGGAACCCUCCUCCUGGACCUGGACCCAGAUCAAAAGGUACGGCCCCACUCAAAAGCCAGAACCCGAGAUCACUCAGACCUAAGGGGUAGGAGCGCAGAGUCCAAGGCUCAGGGAAGCCGCAGCCCCGCCCUGCUCAGAGAGCAGGGUCGUCUGAACAACAACCCUCAGGGCCUUCUAUCCGAGUCCCAGUGAAAGUCACUGCCCUCGGAGCUCCCCCGGCAGAGAGCAGGGUCGAAACAACAGCAACCCUCAGGGCUGGCAAGACAGCCUCAUGGGCUGGAUCCUGCUAUCCAAGUCUCAGUGAAAGUCCCUGCCCUCGGAGCUCCGGGAAGCCGCAGCCCAUCCCCUGGCAGGCUGACGAAACAGCCUCACGGCCAGCUAUUCUGAAGGCAACUUCCGGAAAGCAACCCGACCCAGAGAGCCGGGGGAGAGUGUGGCCUCCUGGUCCGACCCUUCUAUUCCAGUUCCAGUGAGGAAUAUUCAGUUUAACCCAGGGAAAGCUCAUAGAACCGACAAUCUGCCCAGGACUAAAGCCUCUGAACACCAGACAGAGAUAAGAAAAACUAAUCCUCCACAUUCAGAGAUGGCAAACUCCACAGAAGCACAGAAGCCCCAAAAUACCAAGAAAAAUAAGAAGAAAGGGGCGACUUUGGACACAUUCUAUGGAGCCAAAAUACAAAAUACAGAGCAGGUAGAAGAUGAUAUACAAGAAAAUGCUCCAAAACCUUCCAAAGGAAAUGGAAACUCUCCACAAACACAUGAAGAAUUUGAAUCAGAAAUGACCAAAAAGAUGGAAGCCUUCUGGGAGAAAAAGUUGGAAAUAAUGCAAAAGAAAUUCACGCAUCUACAAAACCUGUGUGACCAAACUGAAAAGGAAAACCAGGCUUUAAAGGCCAGAAUCAGGCAGCUGGAAGACAACGAUCGUGUAAAAGAGCAAGAAUUAAUAAAGCAAAGCCAAAACACCAAGAAAUUAGAAGAGAACAUAAAAUAUCUCACCGACAAGAUGACAAUCUGGAAAAUAGAGGGAGAAGAGAUAAUUUAAGAAUAAUUGGACUCCCAGAAAAGCCAGAAAUAAAUACCAAACUGGACAUGGUGAUACAAGAUAUAAUCAAAGAAAAUUGCCCAGAGAUUCUAGAACAAGGGGGCAAUACAGCCACUGACAGAACUCACAGAACACCUUCUACACUAAACCCCCAAAAGACAACUCCCAGGAAUGUAAUUGCCAAAUUCCAAAGCUAUCAAACAAAAGAAAAGUGAGGAUUCACUUUUGCAAACCAGCAUUUGCCCAGAAGACACUAGCAAGCCAAAUAAAAGCAAGACUGACAAGUUUCUAUCUUCCUCCCUUCUUUGCCAUGAUAACUUAAAGGUUGCUUGCUUGUCAAGAUUAACAAGAUAGUGGCAGCUAGGUAGUACAGUGGAUAGAGCUCCAGGCCUGGAGUCGAGAAGACCUAGGUUCAAAUCUAGCCUUAGAUACUUCCUAGCUGUGUGACCAUGGGCAAGUCACAGCUCCAAUUACCUAUCCCUUACCACUCUUCUAUCUUAGAAUCCGUACUUUGUUAUCAAUUCUAGGACAGAAGGUAAGGGUUAAAAAUGUUAACAGGGCAGCUUCCUUACAUGAAAUAAACUGAAAUAACUCAAGUCUAUUUGAAUAUAGCCAUCAUAAUUUUCCUGUGAAGUUCCAGGCCCAAGAAAAAGGAAGACUUACAGCUCUAUAAGUGCUCAAAGAGGGCCAGUGUAAUAUGGAGGGGAGUAUUUAAUGUAAGUUUUCUGAAAUGCAAUGAUUCAGGGUUCUAUAUCUGGCAUAUAAUCACUGUGUGACCUUCAGUAAACCAUUUAAUCUCUCUGAGUUUCUGCCUAUUGGCAGCUAGGUGGCCCAGUGGACAGCACUGGGCCUGGAGUCAGGAAGAUUCAUCUUUCUAAGUUCAAAUCUGGCCUCCAACACUUACUAACUGUGUGAUCCUGGGCAAGUCACCUAACCCUGUUUGCCCUGGUUUACUCAUAUGCAAAAUGAGCUGGAGAGGAAAUGACAAAGCACUUCAAUAUCUCCACCAAGAAAACUCCAAAUGAGGUCAUGAAUGUGACUGAAAAAUGACUGAACAAUAAGUCUUCAAGUCUUCAGCUGUCACUUCUGUUUUCAGCUCCCUUCCCUUCACAUGGACUAGAGGUGAGCAAGUCUGAAAAAAGGAUAUUUCCAGCUUCAUGAGUUGGGAAGUUCUGGAGGAUCCAAGUCAGAUGCCAGCUAUCCAAGUGGGAACAGAGUUCCACAGGAGUAUGCUUGUCAGAAGAGAAGAUGACUGGGGGCAGCUGGGUAGCUCAGUGGAUUGAGAACCAGGCCUAGAGACGGGAAGUCCUAGGUUCAAAUCUGGCCUCAGCCACUUCCUAGCUGUGUGACCCUGGGCAAGUCACUUGACCCCCAUUGCCUAGCCCUUACCACUCUUGUGCCUUGGAGCCAAUACACAGUAUUGACUCCAAGACAGAAGGUAAGGGUUUAAAAGGAAAAAAAAAAGAAGAAGAGAAGAUGACUCCUGCCAGGAUUGGCCUGAGCCUGAAAGAUUAAAGAGAACGAUGCCCUUGUUGGCCAGAUAUUAAAACCUCAGAAGUUACUUGGAUGGUGUGGGUCCAAGGUUAAAGUAAAUAUAACUGUUUUGGUAGCCUGAGAAAGUUGUUUUACCUAAUACUCAUACUUUAUACCUUUUCUGUAAGGAACACUAUUACCUGCAUUUUGGGGAACUCCUAGAUAUGAGAAAUACCUAAGCUUUGCUUUGGGGAUUUCCCUGGACUUUGAGAGAAAAGCCUGACCACUUUUUUUGGACUCAGGCCAAGGACCAGGCUAGCUAAGUUUGGAAAGAUUUCUCACCUGAAGAUUAGUUGCUGAAUUGGGGGGAAGGGGUGUCAUAGCAACUCAUUAAACUAUCUGCUAAGAUAGGAAGCAGUUGCCAUCUACAUCAUCAGAGAGAAUACCCACAAUAAUGGAAUUAGAAAUCCAUUACAUAAAGAAGUUAAAAAGAAAAAACAAAAACAAACCAAUAUCUCCUCAUCCGCCCAUCAGCAUUUUAUAAAUAGUUUGUUUUAAGAAAUGUCAAACCCUUUGUGACCCAAUUUGGGGUUUUCUUGACAAAGAUACUGGAGGGGUUUGUUAUUUCCUUUUCUAGCUCAUUUUACAGAUGAGGAAACUGAGGUAAACAAGGUUAAGUGACUUGCCCAGGGUCACACAGCUAGUAAGUGUUUGAGGCCAUAUUUGAACUCAAGAUGAUGAAUCUUCCUGCCUCUGGGCCCCAAACUCUCCACUGAGCCACCUAUCUACCCUAGAUCACUUAAUGGAAGUACAUGCUCUUCCUACUUCAUCCUUGUAGCUGCCAUUACUUUUGGAGUCAGGAGGUACACAAAGCGAGAGAGAAAUACCCAUUGAGAGUUGCUCUCUCAUCCUAGCAAGUACAUGUCCCUCAGUUCAAAGGCAAUAUGAAUGUCUGGCUCCAUGAGAAGUACCCCUUUCUGACAAAAGUCCCGACCUGAUCAUUUUAUUGAGUGGAUUGGGGGAACUCACUUGUCUGAGUCCUCCUAACCAACUCCACCUCUACCCAGAACUGACCUUAUUCAUCCUGAGAGCAAUUCAGGGCAGUCCCUAUUCUCAUCUUAGAAUCAGAAAGACAUGGCUCAAAUACUUAUUAACUGUGUGACUCUGGGCAAGUCAUUUAACCUCUCUCAUCUGUAAAAUGGGGUUAAUGAGAGUACCUAAUUCUCAAGGAUCUUAUGAGAAUCAAAUGAGAACAUGUGUAAAAUACUUUGUAAACCUUAAAGUUCAGUGAAAAUAUUAACCAUUAUUAUCCCUUAGCAUCCCAAGCACAGUGCUUUUCACAGAAUAGAAUCAUAAAAUAUUAACCUGAGAGGGACCUUAGAAAUUACCCAACCCUCUCAUUUUACACAAGAGGAAAUGGAGGAAUAAAACAAGUGAAGCAAUAUGCCCAAGGUUGAGCAGCUAGUUAGAAGCAGAUGCACAAGUAGAAUCCUGUUCAGCUGACUCUCAGACCAUGCUUCCUCUCAACAAAGUUUUGCCCAAAAAGUGGGUGGGAGGAAUAGACUGGAAUAGCUAGGUGGCUCAGUGGAUAGAGAAGUCAGGUCUGGAACUGAGAAGUCUUGAGUAAAAAUCUGAUCUCAGAUACUUCCUAACUCUGUGACCCUGGGUAAGUUACUUAACCCCAAUUACCUAACUCUUUAUCACUCUUUUGCCUUGAAACUGAUAUGUGUUAUUGAUUCUAAAACAGAAGAUAAGGGUUUUUUAAUUAAAAAAAAAAAAAACCUCAGGAGCCAGGUGCUUUUAUUAUCCUCAUUUUGAAGACGAGGAAACUAAAAGUAAACAAAAUGACUCACUCAGAAUCACAAAGCUAUUGUCUAAGGUCAAAUUUGAACUUAGGGCUCUGUGAGAUUUAAAAUGGUUGAGGUCUUAAACUGUAGUGAUUAAAAUAGUGGAAGAUAUAAAUUGUGAUAGAUAUAAGAGAGGGUGAGUAAAUUUGACCGCAGAAAUAUGUUUCACUACAGUGUCUUGGGUUUUAAAAUCAAAUAUAAGGUGGUCACCAGGGAAAUGUUCCCAAUUAUUCAAAUACCCAAGUCAAUUGGGCUUUAUAGAGAUUUUAAUUAACAAUACAAUGAGUAAUCAAAGAGAGAGAGAGUAAGAAAGUAAUAAGUAUGAAGGGCCUCAAGCCAAUAUGGCCUAGACCUUAAAAGAGAAAUCAGUCAGUUUUUUAACACUCACCACAAGAUCUGACUAAACAAGGAUACUAGUGACACCAGGCCAGCGUCCUUCCUCAAAGAGUCUUCCAGCCAGAGAUUGUUUCAAAGGGCCUCUCUCAAGAGCCUCCAGAGCUACCCCAGAGGGACAGAGCCCCUCAGAGGAGCUCCUCAAGGAGCUCUCCUUCAGAAUGAGAGUCAGAAAUCGAGAACCCUUGCUCUUCUCUGAGCUCUUAUUUUUAAGGGCAAAAUCUUCUCUGUCACCUCCCCUAAGUCCUUACAUCUACCAAAUUACUGUAGAUGUUUCUAAAGGACCGCCCAUUUUGAAUUCACAGCUGAGUAGUUUUAAUCUCUUUAGUAAGUCAGGAAAAAAUGCUGCUGUGUCGACAAAUUUCAUUAAGAAAAAACCUCUGAAUAAGUUAUCACCCUUUUAGGUUUACGUAGUUUACAAGUUGCCCCACCUUUAUAGGUACUUAGUAUCCCAAUGUAUCAAUUCUAAAACAGUCAUGACUCAAAGAACUUCCUGUCCCUUCCAUAAGCAUGGAUCAAAGCACAUUCAUUGUUCUCAAGGAGCUCUCUGUCCUAAAGCAGUCCUAAGUAGGGUGGAGUAGGGAUAUUCCCAAGGCAAGGAGCCCUCACAUUCAAGUAGAAUUCUCACUAUCUGCUAGGAAAUUUUUUUAAGUAGAAGAUUCCCCCAUGGGGGAAACCCCUAACAUUCAUAAGUCUGAGAAAUUUUGAGGUUUACAGCUCCCUGUCUCUGGAACCAAUUCCCUAUCUAUUAUACCACCUACCUAGAAUAAUAAUAAUAAUACUUAUAUAGUUCUUUAAGGUUUGCCAACUCUCUACAUAUAAUUAUUUGUGACUUCAUCAAAGAAUAAAUUAAUGAAUAUGGUGUAAAA